rnacentral:rRNA from 1 species
GACGUAGGAGGCGAGCGUUGUCCGGAGUUACUGGGCGUAAAGCGCGCGCAGGCGGCCCUGCGCGCUGCCGGUGAAAGCUCCCGGCUCACCUGGGAGAGGUUCGGCAGGACGGCAGGGCUGGAGGGCGGUAGAGGGUGGUGGAAUUCCCGGUGUAGUGGUGAAAUGCGUAGAUAUCGGGAGGAACACCAGUGGCGAAGGCGACUACCUGGCCUGUUCUUGACGCUGAGGCGCGAAAGCUAGGGGAGCAAACGGG